rnacentral:misc_RNA from 1 species
UUAAUUGGUCCCAUUUUGCUACCUGGAUAUCAAGGGAAGACCAAUUAGAAAGUCGUAUAGCUAGGCACUCAGAAGGCUGGACAAAAAAAAUUUUCCCGCAAGAAGCUGAGGACUAAAGCAGGUUUCUGGAGAGCUGCACAUCCAAUAGUAUGCAUUAAAGAGAGAACAGACGUGUGCUUUCUGCUGAAUAGAAAACUAUGGUAGCAGUGAUGUAAUUGUGAUGGGUCCAUCUUGUGUUAACUAAUAACAGGUUCCCUAAAAUGAGAUGCAUUUGAGGUAUUUUUCAGGUAAAUUUAAUUUGAGAUCACUUCAGCGCAUUCUUUAGAUUUCAAUUUGUAGCCACUAUAACCAGAUUCCAGCGCUCCUCAAUAGUCUGAACAAUCAUCUAGAUCAUCAGUUCUAAUUAAAAGUUAAAGUAGACGUCAUUCCCCAUUUUAAUAUUACUGACAGGGAAAUUCAAGAUGCUUAGGAGGAAAAGGCUUCAGAAUGGAGAGACAACAGACCUCAUCUUCACUGAAAUUGUAG